rnacentral:rRNA from 1 species
AGUGGAUUAGCGGCGGACGGGUGAGUAACACGUGGGUAACCUGCCUCAAAGUGGGGGAUAGCCUUCCGAAAGGAAGAUUAAUACCGCAUAAUAUAAGAGAAUCGCAUGAUUUUUUUAUCAAAGAUUUAUUGCUUUGAGAUGGACCCGCGGCGCAUUAGCUAGUUGGUAAGGUAAUGGCUUACCAAGGCAACGAUGCGUAGCCGACCUGAGAGGGUGAUCGGCCACAUUGGAACUGAGACACGGUCCAGACUCCUACGGGAGGCAGCAGUGGGGAAUAUUGCGCAAUGGGGGAAACCCUGACGCAGCAACGCCGCGUGGGUGAUGAAGGUCUUCGGAUUGUAAAGCCCUGUUUUCUGGGACGAUAAUGACGGUACCAGAGGAGGAAGCCACGGCUAACUACGUGCCAGCAGCCGCGGUAAUACGUAGGUGGCGAGCGUUGUCCGGAUUUACUGGGCGUAAAGGGUGCGUAGGCGGAUGUUUAAGUGGGAUGUGAAAUCCCCGGGCUUAACCUGGGGGCUGCAUUCCAAACUGGAUAUCUAGAGUGCAGGAGAGGAAAGCGGAAUUCCUAGUGUAGCGGUGAAAUGCGUAGAGAUUAGGAAGAACACCAGUGGCGAAGGCGGCUUUCUGGACUGUAACUGACGCUGAGGCACGAAAGCGUGGGUAGCAAACAGGAUUAGAUACCCUGGUAGUCCACGCCGUAAACGAUGGAUACUAGGUGUAGGGGGUAUCAACUCCCCCUGUGCCGCAGUUAACACAAUAAGUAUCCCGCCUGGGGAGUACGGUCGCAAGAUUAAAACUCAAAGGAAUUGACGGGGGCCCGCACAAGCAGCGGAGCAUGUGGUUUAAUUCGAAGCAACGCGAAGAACCUUACCUGGACUUGACAUCCCUUGCAUAGCCUAGAGAUAGGUGAAGCCCUUCGGGGCAAGGAGACAGGUGGUGCAUGGUUGUCGUCAGCUCGUGUCGUGAGAUGUUAGGUUAAGUCCUGCAACGAGCGCAACCCUUGUUAUUAGUUGCUACCAUUAAGUUGAGCACUCUAAUGAGACUGCCUGGGUAACCAGGAGGAAGGUGGGGAUGACGUCAA